rnacentral:rRNA from 1 species
UACGAAGGGGGCUAGCGUUGUUCGGAAUUACUGGGCGUAAAGCGCACGUAGGCGGACUGUCAAGUCAGGGGUGAAAUCCCGGGGCUCAACCUCGGAACUGCCUUUGAUACUGUCAGUCUAGAGUCCGGAAGAGGUGGGUGGAAUUCCUAGUGUAGAGGUGAAAUUCGCAGAGAUUAGGAAGAACACCGGUGGCGAAGGCGGCCCACUGGUCCGGUACUGACGCUGAGGUGCGAAAGAGUGGGGAGCAAACAGG